rnacentral:tRNA from 3 species
GCCGGGGUGGCGGAAUUGGUAGACGCAGGGGACUUAAAAUCCUCUGAGCCCUGCAGGCUCGUGCGGGUUCGACCCCCGCCCCCGGCA